rnacentral:rRNA from 1 species
AUUGAACGCUGGCGGCAUGCCUUACACAUGCAAGUCGGACGAGUGGCGAACGGGUGAGUAACGCCUCGGAACGUACCGAGUAAAGGGGGAUAACUGUUCGAAACGAUAGCUAAUACCGCAUAUUAUUCGAGCGGCCGAUGUCUGAUUAGCUGGUUGGCGGGGUAAAGGCCCCCCUAGGCGACGAUCAGUAGCGGGUCUGAGAGGAUGAUCAGCCACACUGUGACUGAGACACGGCCCAGACUCCUACGGGAGGCAGCAGUGGGGAAUUUUGGACAAUGGGCGCAAGCCUGAUCCAGCCAUGCCGCGUGUCUGAAGAAGGCCUUCGGGUUGUAAAGGACUUUUGUCAGGGAAGCGGUACCUGAAGAAUAAGCACCGGCUAACUACGUGCCAGCAGCCGCGGUAAUUC